ensembl:lncRNA
CUCUAAUCUAUCCGCUGGUGUGCCCUCUGCUGCCUCACCCACCCAGCCAGACUCAGCCUCUGCGGUAGAGGCAGGCCACUCAGCAGCCACCCGGCUUCUCAGAGCAGAGCACAUUGUAUCUAAGUAUCUCCAAGGCUGAUCUGCAUGCACAUGAGGGUUAUCACUUUCUGAUUUCAGAAGUAACAUUUUGAAUAGUAUGAUUUUGCCUGCUUCCUCACUCUGUGAAACAAGCCAGCCUUCUUUCCCUCUUUAUGUCCUUGUCUGUUUCUCUCUCUCUCUCUCAUGCACACAUUACAAUAAGAACCUAGCCCUGGACCAGAUACCUAAACUUGAUCCUCAAAUCCUGAUGUCUUCAUUGGCACAGUGUACCCACGAGCCAUUUGCGUCGGGGAAUCAAGACCAGUUAUUACGGGGACACGGUUGUGAUGUGUUCUUUCCCUGGCUUCCUGCCAUCUGAGCUAAGGGCUUUAUUUCUCAGCUGCAUGCAGAGGAACCAGAAGGAGCUUCCAGAGUCGUGGAGCAGAGAGCAAGGUUGGCAGAAGCAAGUUUCUCCCUUUGUCUAUUUCCAGAAAAGACUAGGGAAAUACUCUAGGCAUGACAACAGUGGUCACCACAACCGAGCACCUGCGAUGAUUGGGUGCGUACAGAGAGGAAAUAAUGACAGUGUCCUGAGCAUCUAUGCUGUCAGGAGGAACUGAUGAGCCCAUUUCUUUCCCUCGACUUACCUUUCUGGGCUGACUGUUGGGUGCUUCCUUGCUUCGACCAUCCAACCUGAGGGUAAGCAGCCUCAGCCAGGCCUGGGUGCCCACCCUCCCUCUCCUAAAUGGCUAAAGGUGCAGGAACGUGCCUGGAGGAUGAGGUGGCCUGUCCAUAGUGACACUCUCAGCAGAGGGAUGACCUCUUUCAUUAAAAACAACAACAAAAACUAUGUCUUUAUUAUAAAAGCAAAAAUACUCUUCAUAAUAUAGGUUUUGUUGAAGCACAACACAGGGCAGAGGCUAAGAGUGGAGGUGGGGGAAAAUAAUAUAGAUUUACCUCAUUCAAAUAACAGCACCAUAGAUUCCACAGACAAACCACCACUGAGCCAACCAUCCCCUACUGAGGGGCAGUCAGGCCAUUUCCAGGUUCUUUGUCACUACAAACAGGAGUGAAAUAAGCAAAUACAUACUGAUAUGCUGGUGCUUUGGAACAGAGAAUCUCCAACAUAGAAUUUCCAAGCCCACAUGUAGGGCUGUGGUGUGUGUGUGUGUGUGUGUGUGUGUGGUCUAAAUGCCAUUGUUACCCUGAUGAUUGCUUCAUCUGAAGCUAUGUGAUCCUUUCUGUGGGAUUACCUAGUCACGGAACUCCUAGGAAUGGAGAUACUAUUUGUAAUGGAAUUGACUGUUCUCUGUUCUAAGAAAACGUUUUUGAAAUGCUCUCCUUCCUUCCCAACGUUUGAAAAGUUUCAAGCAUACAACCAAGUUGAAAGAACUUUACAGUGAACUUGGCAUCUGGAGUCUUCCCCUCAUUAAUAUUUGUACUGUAUUUGUUUUACUACAUUCCUGUCUAUCCAAACUCCAACCGUCCAUCAAUCCAGCAGCAUCAGCUUCCCAGGGUAUCUAUACCAAGUAUCACACACUGGGUGGCUUCAACAGAUAAGAGUUUAGUGUCUCACUGUUCUGGAGCCUAGGAAUCUAUGGUCAAGGUGUUAGUGGUGAU